rnacentral:misc_RNA from 1 species
UUAAGUUCAGCGGGUAUUCCUACCUGAUCCGAGGUCAACCUUGGUGAAAGGGGGUGUUUAACGGCAAGAACCCGCCGCACGACCAAAGCGAGAUGUAUUACUGCGCUCGGUGUGACUAGCGAGCCCGCCACUGGUUUCAGGGCCUGCGGGCAGCCGCAGGACCCCAACGCAAGCAGGGCUUGAUGGUUGAAAUGACGCUC